GCUGUGCGGACGCAGAUCACGCCGCAGCUGCGGGGUGCCGGCGUCUUCCAUUAUGUCGACGGCACGGUAACCGAGCCAACCAAAGUCCUCAUCACCAAGGACGCCGCCGGCAAGGAGACUAUCGGGCCAAAUCCCCUCCAUCUGCUUUGGGUGAAGGAGGAUCAGCAGGUCCUUGGAUAUCUACUCCAACACUUGUCCAAGGAAGUGCUCGUCACGGUGACCACGAUCACCACGGCGCGCGAACUCUGGGUGGCGCUGGCGAGCAUGUUCUCGUCGCAGUCACUCAGCCGCGUCAACAACAUCCGCACAUCGCUGAUUAAUGCGCAGAAGGGCAAUCAAUCGGUGGCCACCUUCUUCGCCGCCAUGAGGGGUCUCGCCGAUGAACUUGCCGCGGCGGGAAAACCCAUCCAGGACGACGAGCUCAUCUCCUACAUCAUCCACGGGAUGGACCAAGAGUAUCAGCCCCUCGUCUCCGCACUAGAUGCCCAUGUCACCCUGGUAACCCUCGAUGAACUUUUUGCCAUGCUCAGUAACUUUUGA
rnacentral:rRNA from 1 species